UACAGGGGGUGCAAACGUUGUUCGGAAUUACUGGGCGUAAAGGGCGCGUAGGCGGUUCGUUAAGUCCUGUGUGAAAUCCCCCGGCUCAACUGGGGAACUGCACAGGAAACUAGCGGGCUUGAGUUCGGGAGAGGGAAGCGGAAUUCCGGGUGUAGCGGUGAAAUGCGUAGAUAUCCGGAGGAACACCGGUGGCGAAGGCGGCUUCCUGGACCGACACUGACGCUGAGGCGCGAAAGCUAGGGGAGCAAACAGG
rnacentral:rRNA from 1 species